UACGGAGGGUGCAAGCGUUAUCCGGAUUUACUGGGUUUAAAGGGUGCGUAGGCGGGCUUUUAAGUCAGCGGUGAAAUCUCCGGGCUCAACCCGGAAAUUGCCGUUGAUACUAUUAGUCUUGAAUUAAGUUGAGGUGGGCGGAAUAUGUCAUGUAGCGGUGAAAUGCUUAGAUAUGACAUAGAACACCGAUUGCGAAGGCAGCUCGCUAAACUUAUAUUGACGCUGAGGCACGAAAGCGUGGGGAUCAAACAGGA
rnacentral:rRNA from 1 species